rnacentral:rRNA from 1 species
AUUGAACGCUGGCGGCAGGCCUAACACAUGCAAGUCGAGCGGAUGAAGGGAGCUUGCUCCUGGAUUCAGCGGCGGACGGGUGAGUAAUGCCUAGGAAUCUGCCUGGUAGUGGGGGAUAACGUCCGGAAACGGGCGCUAAUACCGCAUACGUCCUGAGGGAGAAAGUGGGGGAUCUUCGGACCUCACGCUAUCAGAUGAGCCUAGGUCGGAUUAGCUAGUUGGUGGGGUAAAGGCCUACCAAGGCGACGAUCCGUAACUGGUCUGAGAGGAUGAUCAGUCACACUGGAACUGAGACACGGACCAGACUCCUACGGGAGGCAGCAGUGGGGAAUAUUGGACAAUGGGCGAAAGCCUGAUCCAGCCAUGCCGCGUGUGUGAAGAAGGUCUUCGGAUUGUAAAGCACUUUAAGUUGGGAGGAAGGGCAGUAAGUUAAUACCUUGCUGUUUUGACGGUACCAACAGAAUAAGCACCGGCUAACUUCGUG